rnacentral:rRNA from 1 species
AUGUAUGCGGCAGCCGGGAACGCACGGUGGGGAGAGAUGGUUUGGAGGGUGGCGCGCGGCGACUGGGGACGCACGGUGGGGAUAGAUGGUGGAGGAGGGUGGCACGCGCCUCGCCCAGGCCUCCUUCCAUGCCGCAGCGGCGGAGUACAAGCGCUCAUCGUGAGGACGCACGGGCGAGGAGGAUUUGGCAAGCUCCGGCGCCAAUUCCGUUGGCUCCGACGAGCUCCGACGCCGAUUCGUUUGGCUCUGGCGAGCUCAUCCCCCUCCUACAGAGGGCGUUUUUUAAAUCGUUGGCCCGACAUUUUUUUAACACUUUACACAAUGUAA